AAUACUCAUUAAUGGUGUUGACAUGAAUUUGCACAUGGUUUGUCUAAAAGCAUAUUAAAAACACUUGAUUUUCACCACAGGGGGACUUUAACAUGUCCAAAAACGCUAAUCGUUCAAAUUUUUGCAAACAACAAAACAAAACAAAAAUCAGGGUCUGAAAUUGUCUGAAUUCUAACCUAGUGAUUCAAGAUAACCUUUCAACUUGUUUAUGAUAUGUUGCAUUAUACACUACUACAAUGUACACUUUCCUCCCAGAAUUAUACAGCAACUGAGGGACCUAAAAUGAUCUAAAACAAACUAUAUGAAUAGUAAAAAUGAACCUUUUUUUGAAAGAGAACAUUUUACUCAAAGCAACAAUGCAGUCCAAAAUUUGGGGGCAACCAUGAAUAACUGGUUCUGAAAUGGUGACAUUCAUCAGUGAAGAAUUCAACCUAAAUAUAGACCUAGACAAACAUUACUGAAAGUGACAGAAAAGAAAGAAUUUCCUCUGGGGAAAAGGAAAUGGAUAGUUACUGGAUAUAAAAGUGACUGCCCAGCAAGUCUCACUCAAACAAACACAGAGAGCCUAAAAGUGUGCACCCUGACUAGUCCUGUGACUGGAAGUGCCACUAUAUCUAGCUCAUGAAGUAGAUACUGUAAUAGAGAAAUGGCAGGAAAUUAUCGUCAUGGUAACCUUGUUUGGGAGCUCUUUCAGGGUGAAUCGCACACUGGUAUCAUUUCAGAUUAAAAUUAACUGCUCAUUGGUCAAGGUGCCCUUGACCGGAGCUUCCUGGCACCAUGUUUGGGUGGAUCUGGCUGCUGGGAAGCCUGUGGAUUCCGAAAUGUCUAAGCAAAUAACAGAAACACUUUUGUCAGGUUAUGACAGAUAAGAAAACUUUGAAGUGAAGUAAAGACUAAUUAAAGUAUUUUCUAUUGACAAAUGUGGGUGGACUGUUUGUCCUUUGGAAAUCAAAGAGGCGUUUAAUAACAUGCCAUUUCAUAGUGCUCCGAUUUUUUAAAGAGCUUGUUUUUGACUCAAGUGGUGAACGUCAGCCAGCUCUAUCCCACACUAGGCAAGUCAGCUGAUAAGAACGUUUGCAUGCUGGCCAGGGUGCGUUGCAAUGACCUUCUCUAGGCACUCUGUCAACACAUUAUAGCUGUCAGUCAUGUGGCUUCUUCUACGUGCUGCGGACAGCACUUUUCUUUUGUGAUGGCUCCUCAUGUGUGUUAAUCUCUCUAAUCUUACAGACAUAUUUACGUUUUAUUGAGGUAACAGUAAGCUGACCUUAUAACUGUAUGCGUGUGAAUGCACAGGCCAGCUAGGAUGCGAUAAGGAAAAAGCCAUGAAGUUCACAAAGCCAUGAAGUUCACUUGCGCAUCACCUCCUGUUUAUUGUUUCUUUAGUCCGGCAAAACGCCGUUAUACUCAGUCCUCAGUAAGCUUCAUAAAAGUUCCCAUAAAACGUGUCCACGUGUUCUUUGUUUAACUGAAGGUAUUCAUUAAGAGUCCCGGAUCUUCAAAAGUACCAAAUAUGCAAAGUGAAAUUUGUUUUCAGGUACAUUAAUUAAAAAAUAUAGGCGAUUACACACUGUACUUAGGUAAAUAUAUACCAUAUAUAUUCAGUUUGCAAACCAGUUGCACAAAUAUACAGGUUUUGUCUUCACAUACUGUAUUUAAUUUAAUUUAAUUUAAUUUCAGUAACCAUCUCUCCUCUUUAAGUCAUUAAAUUACCUACUGUAAGUCCUAGGCGUACAGUUGAGAGGUUGAACAUAAUUUCACAAUGAAUCAUUAUUUAGACAUUAUUCAAAGAAACAUAGAAAUGAGGAACUUCAUUUGUGUUCCUCAAGGGAAAAAACAUAAAAUUUUUUGAGUGACAUGAGUAAAUGAUUAGAUGUCAUGAUCUGUCAAAGUAAAUUUUCUAUUAUUUAAAAAAAUAAAUGUUUUUUUAAAUAGAAAUCGUAUAAACCCCAAGCUUUUGAACAGUUAAAUAUUAUAUAUAUAAUAUAUAACAUGAUAUAUUUAUGUUAUUUAUAUGUAGUAAUCAAGUGCAUUUUUACCACAUUUUUAUAAUAUUAAUACACCACAUUCAUUAAAAACAUUUAGUUUUACAUUAUGUGGUGUAUUAGUAAUCGCAAAUUUAUUACAAGUACAUUUAUUGGCACCUCUAUGGUGUGCAUAUUAUACAAGUUCACUGUGUGCAUCCACGCCCAGAAGUAAGCUCUAUAAAGUACAAGUUUUAUUGGCUUUGAGCAUAAAAACUCAAUUCUGUGCCAAUUCUAAGAUCAAGAAAUACGAGAACAAGGAACUGAAUACAUAGAUUCAUAGUUUGCAGAACAAUGAUACUAACAAACUGUCAUGAACCUUUCGACUGGUUCUGCCUGAGGUGAUGCAGCCAUCAUAUUUGUUGAUGUUUUCUGUAAAGAAAUACGUACGUGCAGAGAUUUCAGCUGUGAUUUGAUCUCACAGAGUAAGCUACAGUCAAACAAACACUGCUAUUGUAUGUUUCUCUGAAGUGUAUCUCUCAAAGGCCAUAAGAUAAACUCCAGAGCCAUAUCUGCCAUCUUUGUAAAUACUCUAGAUGUUGAUCUAUGAUCAGUAACCAAGAUCCAAAUCUCCUCCUUAUCUUGUCCUAACCUCAGAUUAGCUGCUGGAGUCGUUAACAUGUCUGCCCUCCUCUGUAUGAAGAAUGGCAGGGUCUUACCUGUGACUUUCCUGCUCUCACAAAAACAUGAAAACAUUCCCAUUGCCAGAGACUUAGAGUUCCGGAAAUUCUGGCCAUCACAACAAAUUCCUCAUACACCACAAAUCAUGGACAAAUGGACCCCCCACACACAGUGUACAAAUGAAUGUGGAAAAGCUCAUUAGUUUAUAUUCUAUGGAUCCAAAUUAAUUUUCAACUAUAAGCUGAUUAUAUAUACACACUCAGCUCAGUGUAAAAAACCACAGGCACCUGAUCCUGCAGACAUUAUGAGCACGCGUGUGUCCGUAUCAGUGCGUGUUGAAAGAGAAGACAAUGGUAUUUGUCAGUCUACAUCCUAUUUUCCCCAUUUGGUCAUUAAGCCACAGACAAGUUCAUCUCACGACCUGUGUGUGCGAGGAAUUAACACUCGCACACUGAAAAACACCUCCUGGGUUCCGGAGGAUUCCAGCGGUAUGGGAAAAACAGGAAAAAUCUGCGCUCUCCUUCCUGCCCACUGACCCUGUUUGUAUGACACACAGGAGGCAGUAAGUCAGCGGCUCCGUCUCAUUGUCUCAGUUGUGGUUACAUCACUACAGUUUUGCAUGUGUUGGAGGGUUACAUUGUGAGUGGGAGUCUACUGUCAUGUUUUCUUUUCAGAUUACUCCCUCUAUCUGCAUUUUAAAAAAAUAAUAAUAAAAAUCAGCCUUGUUAUCGCAAAAACAUAGAUACUUUCUCUGUUCCAAAAUGUAGUGAACUGUCUUUUAAGGCAGCAUUAAAAGGGGUGAUUCACACAGACUAUGUUUUUGCAUUUAAAAAUGCAAGUCACAGAGAAGUGGAAUAAAAAAAACAAACAGAAAGGUGCAUAUUUUUGAAAGACUAUUUUUUUAGAAAGGCGUGUCAUGUGCGAAUUGCUAUAAAAGUUCUGAGACAUGACCCUCUAUAACUAUAAAGUUUUAAUAAUCUAUGAGAAUAGAAGUCCACACUGCACACACCACACAGCUAUAACAAUAAUGACACAGAGAAACGAUAUUGCAUAGCUGAUGAACGAUAAAAACACCAAUGAUAGAAUCCAAGAGCUUGAGCAUUUUAAGCAUGAUUAUGAUAAACAGAAAACGUUUGUUGGCGUGACACUAAUAUAGUUAUCUUUAGUUAUCGUACAUCUUUAGUUAUUUGUGACUUAAAGGCACACUAUGUAAAUUUUCGGCACUAGAGAUCGCCUAUUCAAAACAAAGACGUAGCUUGAUGAUGCCGAGAUAGAGCGAGGAAUCAUGGGAGAUGUCGUCUUCACCUCACAGCCGGUUUUAAAAGAAUCAUGUUCAUGGAUGAGAUUAUUUUAAUGUUACUGUAGUAUGAAGCAGAGCAGGGCCAAGUGCUGUUGGAGCUGAACGAGGCCGCUGGAGCGAUCGCUAAUGAGAGACGAGCGUGACAAACGUCUCAAAAGCAGCGGAACUUUUAUUAUGCCACAGCUGCUUUCGCUUCUUCCAGUCAAGCGUAUGAGCAUCUUUGGUGUUUCCAUGGUUUCUACAAAAUCUAACCGGAAAUCGAGGGUAGCGCAGGCUGGACUUGCUGUAUGGCCUGAUCACUGACGUUAACAAGAGCAUUUUGAGCAUUUUACUGUAUCUACUCACUGUUACACUCAAGUGUUGUACUCCUGUCCUCCUUACAUAGCUAAAUAAUACACACAUGGACAAUAUUCUAUGUCCCUUCUCUUCCACUCUGUUUGAUUUUUCCAUCUUUCCAAGAAAUAUAUUGAUUCAACUGUGAAUGCAGCACCCUAAUUACGCCCACCAAACCAGACAGUACCAGUCAAACAGCAAUCUAUAGUCUUUGUACUGACCGCUACUUUUUGUACAGUACUCUUACACAAACUUUUGUCCAAGGUACAGUAAUUACACUUUAUUUUUACAGUAAAAUUUUGGGUUACACUUUAUUUUGAUGGUCCAUUUUAGACAUUUUGCUAACUACAAGUAACUUUGCAACUACAUGACAACUAUUAGUAGAAGACUCUUAGGUUGCAUGGGUUGUUUUAACCCAGCCAAUGGGUUAAAUGUUUGCUCAACCUGCUUGGUAGUUUUAAAUAACUCAACUAUUGUUUAAAAGUUACUGUAUUGCUUGCUUAAAAUGAACCCAAAAUAUUUUGGAAAUUAACAUUUAUUAAUAUGUUUAAUAAAUGAACAUUUCUUAAUAAGUUUAAUGAAUAAUACUAUAAACUGCUUAUUAAUAAAUGUUCACCUUUUGAUUAUUAUUGUUGCCUCUAGUAAUUAUGUGUCUGAUUUUUAAUUUCCAACCUAUUUUGGGUUCAUUUUAA